rnacentral:rRNA from 1 species
UGCCAGCCGCCGCGGUAAUACGGAAGGGACCUAUCGUAGUUCGGAAUUACUGGGCUUAAAGAGUUCGUAGGUGGUUGAAAAAGUUAGUGGUGAAAUCCCAGAGCUUAACUCUGGAACUGCCAUUAAAACUUUUCAGCUAGAAUAUGAUAGAGGAAAGCAGAAUUUCUAGUGUAGAGGUGAAAUUCGUAGAUAUUAGAAAGAAUACCAAUUGCGAAGGCGGCCUCCUGGAUCUGUACUGACACUGAGGUGCGAAAGCGUGGGUAGCGAACAGGAUUAGAUA